UACGGAGGAUGCAAGCGUUAUCCGGAAUGAUUGGGCGUAAAGCGUCCGCAGGUGGCAAUGUAAGUCUGCUGUCAAAGCGUCUGGCUCAACCAGAUAAAGGCAGUGGAAACUACAUAGCUAGAGUAAGGUAGGGGUAGAGGGAAUUCCUGGUGUAGCGGUGAAAUGCGUAGAGAUCAGGAAGAACACCGGUGGCGAAGGCGACUACCUGGCCUGUUCUUGACGCUGAGGCGCGAAAGCUAGGGGAGCAAACGGG
rnacentral:rRNA from 1 species